rnacentral:rRNA from 1 species
GUUGUAUGGUUAAGUGACUAAGCGUACACGGUGGAUGCCUUGGCAGUCAGAGGCGAUGAAAGACGUAGUAACUUGCGAUAAGCCCAGAUUAGGUAGUAACAACCAUUUGAGUCUGGGAUUUCUGAAUGGGGAAACCCACGUGCAUAAGCACGUAUCCUUACCUGAAUACAUAGGGUAAGGAGGCGAACCGGGGGAACUGAAACAUCUAAGUACCCCGAGGAAAAGAAAUCAACCGAGAUUCCGAAAGUAGCGGCGAGCGAAAUUGGACUAGCCCUUAAGCUUUACACGCGUUAGACGAACGGUCUGGAAAGUCCGACGAUACAGGGUGAUAGUCCCGUAGUUGACGACGUGUGUUCAGUGAAAUCGAGUAGGGCGGGACACGUGAUAUCCUGUCUGAAUAUGGGGGGACCAUCCUCCAAGGCUAAAUACUACUGACUGACCGAUAGUGAACCAGUACCGUGAGGGAAAGGCGAAAAGAACCCCUGUGAGGGGAGUGAAAUAGAACCUGAAACCGUGUACGUACAAGCAGUAGGAGCAGGCUUUGUCCUGUGACUGCGUACCUUUUGUAUAAUGGGUCAGCGACUUAUAUUCAGUGGCAAGGUUAACCAUCUAGGGGAGCCGUAGGGAAACCGAGUCUUAACUGGGCGUUCAGUCUCUGGAUAUAGACCCGAAACCAGGUGAUCUAGCCAUGGGCAGGUUGAAGGUUGAGUAACAUCAACUGGAGGACCGAACCGACUAAUGUUGAAAAAUUAGCGGAUGACUUGUGGCUAGGGGUGAAAGGCCAAUCAAACCUGGAGAUAGCUGGUUCUCCCCGAAAGCUAUUUAGGUAGCGCCUCGGACGAAUACUACUGGGGGUAGAGCACUGUUAAGGCUAGGGGGUCAUCCCGACUUACCAACCCUUUGCAAACUCCGAAUACCAGUAAGUACUAUCCGGGAGACACACGGCGGGUGCUAACGUCCGUCGUGGAGAGGGAAACAACCCAGACCGCCAGCUAAGGUCCCAAAUUACUACUAAGUGGGAAACGAUGUGGGAAGGCUCAGACAGCCAGGAUGUUGGCUUAGAAGCAGCCAUCAUUUAAAGAAAGCGUAAUAGCUCACUGGUCGAGUCGGCCUGCGCGGAAGAUGUAACGGGGCUAAGUAGUAAACCGAAGCUGCGGCAAUAUACUUUUGUAUAUUGGGUAGGGGAGCGUUCUGUAAGCGGUUGAAGGUGUGUGGUAACGCAUGCUGGACGUAUCAGAAGUGCGAAUGCUGACACUACGGRUGUGAAGUCAUUGAUGCCAUGCUUCCAGGAAAAGCCUCUAAGCUUCAGAUUGUAAGGAAUCGUACCCCAAACCGACACAGGUGGUCGGGUAGAGAAUACCAAGGCGCUUGAGAGAACUCGGGUGAAGGAACUAGGCAAAAUGGUACCGUAACUUCGGGAGAAGGUACGCUCUUGAUGGUGAAGUCCCUUGCGGAUGGAGCUGACGAGAGUCGCAGAUACCAGGUGGCUGCAACUGUUUAUUAAAAACACAGCACUGUGCAAAAUCGUAAGAUGACGUAUACGGUGUGACGCCUGCCCGGUGCCGGAAGGUUAAUUGAUGGGGUUAGACUUCGGUCGAAGCUCUUGAUCGAAGCCCCGGUAAACGGCGGCCGUAACUAUAACGGUCCUAAGGUAGCGAAAUUCCUUGUCGGGUAAGUUCCGACCUGCACGAAUGGCGUAAUGAUGGCCACGCUGUCUCCACCCGAGACUCAGUGAAAUUGAAAUCGCUGUGAAGAUGCAGUGUACCCGCGGCUAGACGGAAAGACCCCGUGAACCUUUACUACAGCUUGGCACUGAACAUUGACCCUACAUGUGUAGGAUAGGUGGGAGGCUUUGAAGCACGUACGCCAGUAUGUGUGGAGCCGUCCUUGAAAUACCACCCUUGUAGUGUUGAUGUUCUAACGUYGACCCCUAAUCGGGGUUGCGGACAGUGCCUGGUGGGUAGUUUGACUGGGGCGGUCUCCUCCCAAAGAGUAACGGAGGAGCACGAAGGUGGGCUAAUCACGGUUGGACAUCGUGAGGUUAGUGCAAUGGCAUAAGCCCGCUUGACUGCGAGAAUGACAAUUCGAGCAGGUGCGAAAGCAGGUCAUAGUGAUCCGGUGGUUCUGAAUGGAAGGGCCAUCGCUCAACGGAUAAAAGGUACUCCGGGGAUAACAGGCUGAUACCGCCCAAGAGUUCAUAUCGACGGCGGUGUUUGGCACCUCGAUGUCGGCUCAUCACAUCCUGGGGCUGAAGUCGGUCCGAGCUAACUGAUACUAAUUGCCCGUGAGGCUUAACCAUACAACACCCAAGGGGUUU